UCUGAUUGUAAUACCCGAUUUUGGCCCGGGUAAAAGGCCCAAAUUACAAACAGGUCUAUGUCGCCCAAAACCCGAAGUACAACAGGGGCCCAAAGCUCGGUGGCCCAAAUCAUUUGCAGAAACCCUAGGGUUACUGAGGAAGCCCUUUGCGCCGCAGCCACAAGCGUCCCCAUACCUGCGCAUCAAAGAGAAACAAAAAAAGAAACACAAUCAAAUAUUCGAAAAUCAAAUAAAGAAGCAUAUUUGUUUCUUCUUUAGAUUGGUUUAUGCUAUUAUGUUUUCAUUCGGCUGUAAAAAGCCAUAAAAAAUACUGUAAAAUGGGGGAUUGACAUAUAUUGGAUACAAAAAAAAGGAAUAAAAUACAUCAGUUUUCUUUAAGGUGAUUCUCAAAGUUUUUUUUAUUUUUAUUUAUUUUUUGAUCUGUUCUUGAAUAAAAGAAAAAGAAAAGAAAGAAAUUCUUACCUUCAUACCAGCGUCGUCGAAACCUCGUUUACUCCGUCCAAAUCGGGGUCUGAUGAAGUUUUGGGUUUGAAGGCGGCAGAAGAGUGUGAGACGAUUUAGUUUUUUUUUUAUGGUUUAAUG
rnacentral:lncRNA from 1 species